CAUGGCCAGGUUGAAGAUUAGGUAGUACUAAUUGGAGGACCGAACCCAAUACUGUUGCAUAAGUAUGGGAUGAGCUGUGGAUCGGAGUGAAAGGCUAAUCAAGCACGGAGAUAGCUGGUUCUCCCCGAAACCUAUUUAGGUAGUGCCUCGUGUAUAACUCAUUGGGGUAAAGCACUGUUUCGACAAUCGGGGUUUUUCGACCUUACUGACUCGAUGCAAACUCAGAAUACG
rnacentral:rRNA from 1 species